rnacentral:rRNA from 1 species
CAGUCGCCGCGGUAAUACGUAGGUGGCAAGCGUUGUCCGGAAUUAUUGGGCGUAAAGCGCGCGCAGGUGAUUUAAUAAGUCUGAUGUGAAAGCCCACGGCUCAACCGUGGAGGGUCAUUGGAAACUGUUAAACUUGAGUGCAGGAGAGAAAAGUGGAAUUCCUAGUGUAGCGGUGAAAUGCGUAGAGAUUAGGAGGAACACCAGUGGCGAAGGCGGCUUUUUGGCCUGUAACUGACACUGAGGCGCGAAAGCGUGGGGAGUAAACAGGAUUAGAUACCCCCGUAGUCCCUGUCUCUUAUAC